rnacentral:rRNA from 1 species
GACGAACGCUGGCGGCGUGCUUAACACAUGCAAGUCGAACGGAAAGGCCCUGCUUUUGUGGGGUGCUCGAGUGGCGAACGGGUGAGUAACACGUGAGUAACCUGCCCUUGACUUUGGGAUAACUUCAGGAAACUGGGGCUAAUACCGGAUAGGAGCUCCUGCUGCAUGGUGGGGGUUGGAAAGUUUCGGCGGUUGGGGAUGGACUCGCGGCUUAUCAGCUUGUUGGUGGGGUAGUGGCUUACCAAGGCUUUGACGGGUAGCCGGCCUGAGAGGGUGACCGGCCACAUUGGGACUGAGAUACGGCCCAGACUCCUACGGGAGGCAGCAGUGGGGAAUAUUGCACAAUGGGCGGAAGCCUGAUGCAGCAACGCCGCGUGCGGGAUGAUGGCCUUCGGGUUGUAAACCGCUUUCUCCUGUGACGAAGCGUGAGUGACGGUAAUGGGUAAAGAAGCACCGGCUAACUACGUG